rnacentral:rRNA from 1 species
GAUGAACGCUGGCGGCGUGCCUAAUACAUGCAAGUCGAGCGAACAGACGAGGAGCUUGCUCCUCUGACGUUAGCGGCGGACGGGUGAGUAACACGUGGAUAACCUACCUAUAAGACUGGGAUAACUUCGGGAAACCGGAGCUAAUACCGGAUAAUAUAUUGAACCGCAUGGUUCAAUAGUGAAAGACGGUUUUGCUGUCACUUAUAGAUGGAUCCGCGCCGCAUUAGCUAGUUGGUAAGGUAACGGCUUACCAAGGCAACGAUGCGUAGCCGACCUGAGAGGGUGAUCGGCCACACUGGAACUGAGACACGGUCCAGACUCCUACGGGAGGCAGAAGUAGGGAAUCUUCCGCAAUGGGCGAAAGCUUGACGGAGCAACGCCGCGUGAGUGAUGAAGGUAUUCGGAUCGUAAAACUCUGUUAUUAGGGAAGAACAAAUGUGUAAGUAACUAUGCACGUCUUGACGGUACCUAAUCAGAAAGCCACGGCUAACUACGUG